rnacentral:misc_RNA from 1 species
AAGUCGUAACAAGGUUUCCGUAGGUGAACCUGCGGAAGGAUCAUUAAAAAAGUAGGACAUAUGACCUCCGAGUCUUUAUCCUCCCCACCUGUGCACUUAUUGAAAGGAGACCCUUUUUUUUCUGUGGUCAUUGCGAUUUCAGAAGAAAGGGGGAAUAACCCAACCUAUUGCCUGAUAUUUUGACUGAACUUUUGUAAAAUCAAAUACAACUUUCAACAACGGAUCUCUUGGCUCUC